rnacentral:rRNA from 1 species
GACGAACGCUGGCGGCGUGCUUAAUACAUGCAAGUCGAACGGAAAGGCCCUGCGUUUGUUGGUUUCUCGAUUGCCGAACGGGUGAGUAACACGUGAGUAACCUGUCCUUGACUGUGUGAUAACUUCAGGAAACUGGGGCUAAUACCGGGGAGGAUCUCCUGCUGCAUAUGGUGGGUUGGAGAAUUUCGGCGGUUGGGGAUGGACUCGCUGAUUAUCAGCUUGUUGGUGGGGUAGUGGCUUACCAAGGCUUUGACGGGUAGCCGGCCUGAGAGGGUGACCGGCCACAUUGGGACUGAGAUACGGCCCAGACUCCUACUGGAGGCAGCAGUGGGGAAUAUUGCACAAUGGGCGGAAGACUGAUGCAGCAACGCCGCGUGCGGGAUGACGGCCUUCGGGUUGUAAACCGCUUUCGCCUGUGACGAAGCGUGAGUGACGGUAAUGGGUAAAGAAGCACCGGCUAACUACGUG